AGGUAGUAAAUUUUAUUGAAACCUAAGUGGUUUGGCGGUUUUUAAUCUUAUUAGAGGAGCUUGUAAUGUAAUCGACAGUCCACGUUAAGUUUUACUUUAUCUUAGUUUAUAUAUCGCCGUUUAGAUUGUUUUUACAAGAAUUAGUCUAUAUAAUAUAGGUUUGGAAAUCAGGUCAAGGUGUAGCGUAUGAUAAAGAAUAUGUGAGCUACUAUUAGAAUAUAAAUGGAUUUAAUUCUAAAGAAUUUUUGAAAUAGGAUUUAAAAGUAAGAGUAACAUAGUAUUUUAUUUUGAAAUAAGCAAUUGAAAAUGU
rnacentral:rRNA from 1 species